GACGAACGCUGGCGGCGUGCUUAACACAUGCAAGUCGAACGGUGAAGCGCCUUCCUUUUUGGUGGGUGUGGAUGAGUGGCGAACGGGUGAGUAACACGUGAGUAACCUGCCCCCUUCUUCUGGAUAACCGCAUGAAAGUGUGGCUAAUACGGGAUAUUCUGGGUCUGUCGCAUGAUGGGUCUGGGAAAGAUAUUGUUUCGGUGGGGGAUGGGCUCGCGGCCUAUCAGCUUGUUGGUGGGGUGAUGGCCUACCAAGGCGGUGACGGGUAGCCGGCCUGAGAGGGUGGACGGUCACACUGGGACUGAGACACGGCCAAGACUCCUACGGGAGGCAGCAGUGGGGAAUAUUGCACAAUGGGCGCAAGCCUGUUGCAGCGACGCCGCGUGCGGGAUGGAGGCCUUCGGGUUGUGAACCUCUUUCGCCAGUGAAGCAGGCCUGCCUCGUUUGUGGGUGGGUUGACGGUAGCUGGAUAAGAAGCGCCGGCUAACUACGUG
rnacentral:rRNA from 1 species